rnacentral:rRNA from 1 species
AACGAACGCUGGCGGCGUGCCUAACACAUGCAAGUCGAACGCGAAAAGCAGUAAUGCUGAGUAGAGUGGCGCACGGGUGAGUAACACGUAACUGACAUGUCCUAGAGACAAGGAUAACCGUUCGAAAGGAUGGCUAAUACUUGGUAAGCCCACGGAUUAGGAUCUGAGGGAAAAGGAUCGGGACCUUUCGAGGCCGAUCGCUUUAGGAGUGGGUUGCGGCCCAUCAGGUAGUUGGCGGGGUAAAGCCCACCAAGCCUAAGACGGGUAGCUGGUCUGAGAGGAUGAUCAGCCACACUGGAACUGAGACACGGUCCAGACUCCUACGGGAGGCAGCAGUGGGGAAUCUUGCGCAAUGGCAGAAAUGCUGACGCAGCAACGCCGCGUGGGUGAUGAAGGUCUUCGGAUCGUAAAGCCCUGUCGAAGGGGAAGAUGCUUGUGCAUGUUAACAGUAUGCAUAGGUGA